rfam:Triticum aestivum genome assembly, contig: Triticum_aestivum_CS42_TGACv1_scaffold_113560_2AS
AGCAUACCCCCUCCGUCCAGAAAUACUUGUCAUCAGAAUAAAUAAAAGAGGAUGUACGUAGAUGUAUUUUAGUUUUAGAUACACUCCUUUUUGUUUAUUUUGAUGACAAGUAUUUUCGGACGGAGAGAGUAGAAG